rnacentral:tRNA from 1 species
AGACUAGGAAAUAAUCAUUUGUUUACUUGCAAUAAACUGUUUUAUAUAAACUACUAGCCUA